GACGAACGCUGGCGGCGUGCCUAAUACAUGCAAGUAGAACGCUGAAGAGAGGAGCUUGCUCUUCUUGGAUGAGUUGCGAACGGGUGAGUAACGCGUAGGUAACCUGCCUGGUAGCGGGGGAUAACUAUUGGAAACGAUAGCUAAUACCGCAUAAAAUGGAUUAUCGCAUGAUAAUCCAUUGAAAGGUGCAAAUGCAUCACUACCAGAUGGACCUGCGUUGUAUUAGCUAGUUGGUGGGGUAACGGCUCACCAAGGCGACGAUACAUAGCCGACCUGAGAGGGUGAGCGGCCACACGGGGACUGAGACACGGCCCAGACUCCUACGGGAGGCAGCAGUAGGGAAUCUUCGGCAAUGGACGGAAGUCUGACCGAGCAACGCCGCGUGAGUGAAGAAGGGUUUCGGAUCGUAAAGCUCUGUUGUAAGAGAAGAACGAGUGUGAGAGUGGAAAGUUCACACUGUGACGGUAUCUUACCAGAAAGGGACGGCUAACUACGUG
rnacentral:rRNA from 1 species